rnacentral:rRNA from 1 species
CCGCAUGGUGGUUGUUGGAAAGUUUUUCGGUGAGGGAUGGACUCGCGGCCUAUCAGUUUGUUGGUGAGGUAAUGGCUCACCAAGACGAUGACGGGUAGCCGGCCUGAGAGGGCGACCGGCCACACUGGGACUGAGACACGGCCCAGACUCCUACGGGAGGCAGCAGUGGGGAAUAUUGCACAAUGGGCGAAAGCCUGAUGCAGCGACGCAGCGUGAGGGAUGACUGCCUUCGGGUUGUAAACCUCUUUCAGUAGGGAAGAAGCGAAAGUGACGGUACCUGCAGAAGAAGCGCCGGCUAACUACGUGCCAGCAGCCGCGGUAAUACGUAGGGCGCAAGCGUUAUCCGGAAUUAUUGGGCGUAAAGAGCUUGUAGGUGGCUUGUCGCGUCUGCCGUGAAAACCCGAGGCUCAACCUCGGGCGUGCGGUGGGUACGGGCAGGCUAGAGUGUGGUAGGGGAGACUGGAACUCCUGGUGUAGCGGUGAAAUGCGCAGAUAUCAGGAAGAACA